rnacentral:rRNA from 1 species
AUUGAACGCUGGCGGCAUGCUUUACACAUGCAAGUCGAACGGUAACAGGUUAAGCUGACGAGUGGCGAACGGGUGAGUAAUGCAUCGGAACGUGCCCGGUCGUGGGGGAUAACGCAGCGAAAGCUGCGCUAAUACCGCAUACGAUCUGAGGAUGAAAGCGGGGGACCGUAAGGCCUCGCGCGAUCGGAGCGGCCGGUGUCAGAUUAGGUAGUUGGUGGGGUCAAGGCUCACCAAGCCGACGAUCUGUAGCUGGUCUGAGAGGACGACCAGCCACACUGGGACUGAGACACGGCCCAGACUCCUACGGGAGGCAGCAGUGGGGAAUUUUGGACAAUGGGCGCAAGCCUGAUCCAGCAAUGCCGCGUGCAGGAAGAAGGCCUUCGGGUUGUAAACUGCUUUUGUACGGAGCGAAAAGGCUCUCUCUAAUACAGGGGGCUCAUGACGGUACCGUAAGAAUAAGCACCGGCUAACUACGUGCCAGCAGCCGCGGUAA